rnacentral:ncRNA from 2 species
UUUUACUACUAGGGGAACCAUAUUGGUUGAGACUUAAACCCUUUGAACCUGAACAAGCUAAAACUUGCGGAGGAAAGUAGCGAUUUGAUAUG